rnacentral:rRNA from 1 species
GAGUUUGAUCGUGGCUCAGAUUGAACGCUGGCGGCAUGCCUUACACAUGCAAGUCGAACGGCAGCAUGAUCUAGCUUGCUAGAUUGAUGGCGAGUGGCGAACGGGUGAGUAAUACAUCGGAACGUGCCCUGUAGUGGGGGAUAACUAGUCGAAAGAUUAGCUAAUACCGCAUACGACCUGAGGGUGAAAGUGGGGGACCGCAAGGCCUCAUGCUAUAGGAGCGGCCGAUGUCUGAUUAGCUAGUUGGUGGGGUAAAGGCCCACCAAGGCGACGAUCAGUAGCUGGUCUGAGAGGACGAUCAGCCACACUGGGACUGAGACACGGCCCAGACUCCUACGGGAGGCAGCGGUGGGGAAUUUUGGACAAUGGGCGAAAGCCUGAUCCAGCAAUGCCGCGUGUGUGAAGAAGGCCUCGGUGUAAG